UUGAAUACCUCAAUAAAUUCCUGCUCCACAGCCAAGGGAUCUGUCAGCUUCAUACCUGCAUCAGUGUAUAUAGAAGUAAUAUUAUUCUGACUGGUUCAGAUCUUCCACUGAGCAUGGAAAUAUUUUGUGUUUGCAUCUCCACAUUCUAUCCAACAAGCCUUUGAUUUCUGCCUCAUAAUUUGGUCCUCUACAUUGCUCCAU
rnacentral:lncRNA from 1 species